CACACUGCCCUCCACCCUCCCACACCGGCUCCUGGGCCCCAGUGGGUGUCAUUGUCCUUAUAUCUGCUAGUGGCCUUCCUGUGACUGGCCUGGCCAGAGAGGGGAGUGGAACCCACACCUUCUGGUGCUAGGCCCAGCCCAGGAGAAGCCACCACUAGGUUUCUCAACAAGAUCAACGGGAGAUUGUGAAAAAUCAUCUUCCUCUCUCGUGGCAGAAGGGACUGUCAUCAAAGCUCAGGCUGGGAGGUAUUCUGACUCCUGAGGGUCAAGGUCAGUGGCUGCCCCCCAGUAAUGCCUCAGGACUGCCCAGCUCCUCAGCCUUCUCCCCACACUCCCCUCCCCUAGGGGGAGGUGGGGAGGCACUGCCAUUCCCUUUGUAGACACUGAGGCUCAGAGAAGGGGAACAGCCUGUCGAAGCUCCAGGACUCCAUGAGCUUGAUCCCAUGAGCUCUUAGGAGAAAGGAGUGGCGGACCCGCAGGCCCUUGCGGCAGGGGUGUCUUCAGAGCCCAGUCUAUGCACUGGGAGCCCUUCUGCCCAGCCUCCAGUCUUCUUGCAGGGCACUGUCCCAGAUGGGCCCUAAUUUGCUCCUACAUUUCAAAAGACCCCAGGCUGCACUGGGAAGAAAGGGCUCUGCCUCUGCUCUCCAGGUAGAGCCCAGGAGAAGGGCAGGGCUGAGGGCCAGGAGCCUUAGGGUGCCAACCCCCAUCCAGGCCAUUGUCUCCCGCAUUAUCUCCCUGGACCCUCAGAGAGCCCACAAGGCAGCUGUUAGUAUUGUCCCCACUUUACAGAUAGGGAAACAGAGGCCUGCCCCAGACUGUAGGCUACAAAGCGUUGUGGCUGACAUUCGAACCCUGCUCUGUCUUACUCCAGAGCGCAGGUCCCUAGGGCUUGGGGGUUGUGGGAAGACGCAGGAGGAGAAGGGCAUGCCUUUAACCAGAUGGCAGAGGAGGGGUGCAUCCCAGCCACGGGCCUGGCUCCCUGGGCUUGUGGUCUGUUGUGUCCUCUGAGCCCUCUAGUGAGUGCACACAAGCCAGACCCCAACUGGUCACAUCUCCUGCAUUAGCCACAUGACCUUGAGCUAGCUGCUUCCCAUUUUUGGACUGCGGAUGCAGAGUUAGGAAGGAAAGGACCCCAAUAUUUUGAAUUCAGGUUGCCUUGUCUUAUCAAAACCUUCUGCAAGAGACAGAGAAGUGUUUUGCUGACUCAGCAGUGGGGGCUUAAAGCCCACCUGCGCUCCCCGGUGCACCCCCAGGCAUCCCAGGGACUUCCAGGAGCAGCCAUUGUGGCUUCUGAGGGGAAGAAGGUACUCUCAGUUUCCAAGGUGAAACAGAAGAGAGGAGAGAAGUUAGCAUGUCUUCCUGACCUGGUGCCCAGGGUGGGCAGGAGCCUGAGAAUGGCGGGAGGGCACAGCAUGGGGCACAGUGUGGGGCAAGUCCCCCUGUGGCUCUCUGCCCAGGGCCUCUGGCCCCAGCUGACUAAUGUUCCCCUUGAGCAGGUGCAUCUGUCAUCUGUGAUCAGCCCACAUCCUGGAAGGCCACAGAACAGCCCUGUGGCAGGGAGAAGAAGCAAGGGGACUCGCAGAGUUGGAGAGGGAGCAGCCGAGCUGAGACAGGAGGGCAGUGUGGGUGGGGGUUGUCCCACACUAGGGUUGGCCCAGCCUCCCCCUCCCAUCUGCCACCUUAGCUCUAUGCCCAGUGUGCCCUCUCCAUCAGUCUGGCCAGGCCUGAGUCAGGAUCAGCCAGGAAAAGCAGCUGCUAGUCUUUUCUGACCUGGCCUCCCCACUGCCCAACACCCCCAGCCUUCCCCAACCUUCAGCACAUGGCAGAUGGCGGGGCAGGCCAGGGGCAGAUCUCAGUCCCCUGCCACUGGUGCCACACGCCCCUGUGCCCAGCUCUCUCAAGGUGGGUACUCUGGGCAGUGCCCAAGAGAACGAAACUCUAGCCCCACCUGUGCCCCGCUGACAAAGGGCAGGCCCCUCCCCUCCCUGGGUCUCAGUCUUCCCAUCUGGGUCUGAGAGAGGCUCACAGCAUUUGCCAGGCCCUGUAAUGAGCAGUGCAGGACUGGGAGGGCACGGGCCUGGCUGACUCAGGCCAAGGCCACCUCCAGCAGUGCCCCCACAUGUGCACACUAAUGUCCAUGGUUAUUGCACAGAACCCGGAUCCUCACCAUGUGGGACUGAAGGACCCUGGGCAGGAGACGGGCAUAGCCAGGAGGUGUCGUGACUGUGCCUUGUUGGCUGUGAGCCCUGGCUUUGAACCAGCAGACCUAGGCUCAGUCCUGUCCCCAUCACGCACUGGCUGUGUGUCCUCUGACAGGUUACUUAGCUCCUCUGUGCCAUUGUCUCCUUGUUUUCUUGGGGGAAGUCUGAAUAUCACAGAUCUCUCCAGAUAAAUGUAAUCCUAUACCAACCAGCUUGGCCUGGUCCCUGGCACAGAGUGAGGCCUCCACACGUGAAGGGAAUACCUAUGUCAUUCCUUCUGGCUGCUGGGAGAGCCUGGGAGGGCCACCAAGAGGCAAUGUGGCCAUGGGCAACUCAAGCCCACCCCUGGGUUAAUAUGACACCCUCACUGCAAGGCAGCGUGGGGAGCUUGUCCUUGUCAAGGUGGCAGCCAUCAGAGGAGGGCAGAACAGCCCAGUUCUCCCCUCUUCUGCUCUAGUGCUAUGAGAGGGAUGGGGCUCAGGGCUGUAUGUGCGUGUGUGUGUGCAUAUAUAGGUGUGUUCGUAGGCAUGUGUACAUAUGUGUUUGUGUGUGUGUGUGUGUGUGUGUGUGUGUGUGCAUAUGUGCAUGCAUGCAUCUUCAGGGACUCAUGACAACUUUGUCUCCCCCAACAAGGCGAGCUGCCUGGCCCAUGUCUGUCUGUGACCAGGGGUGAGUGGAGAAUCCAGACUCCCCAAAGCUUCCCCAGGGGCCUGCACGACACAACGCCCACCACUGCUUCCUGCCAUCUGCCUCGAGCAAUGGAAAUAGAGCCAGUGACAGCAAGCAGUGCUGGGUGGGCCAGUCAGUCUGUGCCGCAGCAGCCGUGGACAGGGUGGGGGUUGGGAAGCCCCUCAUCUGAGCAGUCUGCCUGUCCCCUGCUGGCCCUGACCUCAGGGAAGCCCUACCAGAAAGGAAGGGGCUAGAAUCAGGAUACCUCCUUCCCCUUCCAGGCAAGGCCAAGAAUUUUCUAUCUGGAGGGACAGACACUCUAAACAAACUCUCCAAGCUGCAUUUUCAGAUCUAUCAAGGAGAUGUAUAAGAACAGAGUAGCCCAGGCCUCUCUGCAUCAAACAAUCCAGUCCCUGGGCAGGCAGCCGGUGGGAGCCUCCCCACGUGAUUCCGGUGGGCAGCAGCUGAGAGCAGCAUCUGGGAGGAGUCAGCCGUGCAUCUUGCCUAUGCACAUGCUCCUAGAGCGCCACCUCUGGGGAAACGAGCCUGAAUGCUUUAAUGAAGGUUUUCCAGGACCCUGCCUGGCCUCUGGCCAUGCAACCCACCUUCUCACAGGCUACCAUGUGCCCCCUGGUCACCUCUGCCACAUGAACUCUGGACGGCUCUAUGGGAGUUUCUCUGGAGCACCGUUGCUGAGAACCGUGGAGACUGAACUAGCAGCUCAAGGGUUUCACCUUGGCACACCCCUGACAAUCUGACUCCAUCUUCUCAGCCAGAUGGGCCCCCACAAUAUGAAGCUGUGCCUUGCUGGGAAUGGAGCAGGGAGUGGGAUGCUACCCUGUGGGCCACCUGGCCUCUCGGGGACCCACAGGGUGGUGUGGAGACUCUCAGGUAGAGACGGGGCUGUAUUCACCAUGAGAGGAAGGUAUGGGGACAGCUACAUCCCCUCAGUGACAGUUUUCUCAGGCACUGGGGAGUCACCACCCCUCCCUCACUGCCCACAUCUAGAGUAGGUCCUAAGUAUCUGUCUCCAUAAUAUCCCCAGCACACAGCCGUGACCUCCACCUGGCUCAGCUUUCCCCGCCUCUCCUGGGCCUGGGCACCCCUCACCUCCCCCAGGUGGCCCCCUGUCUCAUCAUCCCCCAACCAGACCUGCAUAGUCUACCAGGCCACCCUUCUGAGGCAGCUCUGGCUCCAGCUGAACUUGGGUGGCAGAGAGGAGCUAGGGCAGCUGUGGCCUGCCAGGAGGACACUGUCCCAAGCCAGCCAGCUGGCAGGUCUGAGAACCAUCCGGACCAGUGCUGUCCAAUGGAGACAUGAUGAAGCCACAGAUGCCACUUAAAAUGUUCCAGUAGGCACAGAAAAGAAAGAAAAAAAGUUAAAUUAUUUUAACCAUAUGUUUUAUUAAACCCAAUGUAAAUGAUUAUCAUUUCAACCUGUAAUCGAUAUAAAGCAUUUUUAAUGAGCUAUUUGAUAGUCUAGUAAGUAAAUGUUUGGAACCUGUGUGUGUUUAAAUGGAGGGCACUUCUCAGUGUGGACCAGCCACAGGUCAGUUUCAGCAGCCUGUGUGGUGAGACGUCGCCGUCACUCAGACUUGGGGUGUUGCCUGGCUGAGUGGAGCAGGCCGCCAGCCUCAGCCACAGAGAGAAACACAUUUCUUGCAUUUACUGUUUUGCUGCAUCUGUUGUGACCUGUGCUAUUGUUUCUUAUUAUUUUUCUUUAAAUUAACUCAUGUGUUGAAUUUUAAUGAAUCCAUUUAAAAGGGAAUCUUUAAACCGGCAUCAUAAGUAGGAAGCCAAGAGCAGAAAUGGAAGGUAACCACCACAGUGCCUGGAACUAAGGCAGCAGCAUAAACUCCUACCUACCGUCUGUGGCCUGUUGAGGCUCUGAGCUGAGGCCACGCCCUCCCUUUGAAAGGGGACGGCAGUGGGGAGUUGGAGGGUGCACUGGCCCUGAGUCUGAGUCAUCUCCUGCACCUUGCAGGCACAGCCCCCCAGUGCCAGAGACCUCAGGCCAAAGCCCCCUGGACACAGCUGACUCAGAACUGGUUGGGUUUACCCCUGUGGAGUAACAGAAGAACACACACCCCAGGGACCCUGGCAAGCUGCAUGAGAAGGGGUGAGCUAGAAACCAUUAUAGGAUUUGGGGUUCUGUUGGAUGCUUUGGGUAAUUUUGAGGUUCUAAGCAACCUCAGAAAGUUGGUGUGAGCAUUAAAUAAGAUAAUCCCUCCAAACACCGAACUCAGCAACAGCACACAGCAGGUGCAUCACCUAUGCCCUCCCUUUUCCAUCCGUCCCCCGGCUCCGCACAGGCCAGGAGGACUUAGAAGGAAGUUAAGACCUGGUCCUGGCCUGCCUGGCUGGGCAGGAGCUGCAAACUGCUGCCCCCAGCUGACUGGCAGAGAAUGGCCUGGCCACCAGCAGCCUCUACCCUUGAGGGAAACUUGUGACCUUCAAGAAGGUUGCAGGUCCCCAGGGCCAGCCUAGGGCUGUUUCUGGGACACAGCCCCGAACGCCCACACUGUCAGGUGUGCCACUGGGGACUCUGUGUGACCCCAGGGCCCAGAUCUUCUGGCUUCACUGGUCUCUGCCACCUAAUUCUGACCAUCCCCUGAAGCUGGUGGACAAUGACAGUUCUGUUACCCAUUAAAAUGAGGCCAGCAUUGAGCAGGAGUGGGAGGAGAGUCCCAGGUGAAUUCUGAAGAACACAGGGGACUUUUGAUCAUUCGUGAGUGUUUAUCAAUGGUCUUGUGCAUGCUUGCAUUUCUUACAUCCUCUUUUUGGAUGUGUGAGAGUAUUUUUUGAUGGAAAUCUUUACUGAGCUCAUUGUAGAUUCACAUGCAGUUUUAGGAACUCACAGAGGGCCUUUGUACCCUUUACCCGGUUUCCCCAAUAACAGCAUCUUGCAAAACUCCAACACGAUAGCACAAUUAGAGUGUCUGCAAUGAUGCAAGCCACCAGUCCUACUCCGAUUUCCCAGUUCACACUCACUCAUUUCAGUGUGCCUUUUGUGCUACAAUUUCAUCACAUGUGUAGGUUCCAGUACCCAACAGCACCGUCAGGAUGCAAAACAGCUCCGUCCCCAGGAGGCCUCUCCUGCUGCCUGUGAGAGCCACACCCCCUCCCUCACACCUGCCUCACCCCAUCCUUAACCUCAUCCCUCUAAUCUGUUCUCCAUUUCUAAAAUGGAGAACUUUGUCAUUUUACAAUGUUAUAUAAAUAGAAUCACACAGAAUGUGA